rnacentral:lncRNA from 1 species
UCAAACAGAAAGGGUGAGAAUUCAAAUCAUUAUGAAGAAGUAUAAUCAAGCAUAAUGAUUAAAUCAAUAAUCAAAGGAAUUCAUCACACUUCAUAUAACCAUGUAAAUAAUAUUAACUAACAUUUAUUUCACAUGUUUCAAGCACACACAAAACUCAAGGAGUAUAAUAUUCAAACCCAAUAUCAUAUUCCCAAAAAUACACAUAACUACAAUUAUCACAUAAUCACAUAAUUUACCAAGUUAUGUAUCCAAAUAUCACCAAAUUC